UGGGGAAUAUUGCACAAUGGGCGAAAGCCUGAUGCAGCAACGCCGCGUGGGGGAUGACGGCCUUCGGGUUGUAAACCUCUUUUAGUAGGGAAGAAGGACUUCGGUUUGACGGUACCUGCAGAAAAAGCACCGGCUAACUACGUGCCAGCAGCCGCGGUAAUACGUAGGGUGCAAGCGUUGUCCGGAAUUAUUGGGCGUAAAGAGCUCGUAGGCGGUUUGUCGCGUCUGCUGUGAAAACCCGAGGCUCAACCUCGGGCCUGCAGUGGGUACGGGCAGACUAGAGUGCGGUAGGGGAGAAUGGAAUUCCUGGUGUAGCGGUGGAAUGCGCAGAUAUCAGGAGGAACACCGAUGGCGAAGGCAGUUCUCUGGGCCGUUACUGACGCUGAGGAGCGAAAGCGCGGGGAGCGAAC
rnacentral:rRNA from 1 species